GUGCGGACGUGUCUCGGGCGUGACCUUUGAGCAGCUGCGCCACCGGCUCAGCCUCGCGGCGGGGGAAACCCGAGCUCCCAACAAAACGGUUCCAUCUUUGGCUAGGCCUUUGGUAUUUCAAGGCGCUGCCGGUGGGGAGAGAUGCCGCGUGCCUGAGAGGCUCUGGGAGCCUAGUUUAUCUCCCGGGAGCUGACUUCAUUUCUAAACGUAUAGGGGUUUCUUAGAGGAGCUUCAGAAUACUAAUCAUCGCUAGUGAGGGCACUUGGACACUUUGCUUCACCUCAGCCAGCACCUCUUUUCCCAGCUGUAAAAUGAGAGCUAAUGCUGGCAGCUGUUGGGAUGUCCUCUUCCAGGAAUGGUGAUGAGUUUCCCUGGAUCCAGCCCUGGCUUGGCUGAGGUUUUUCUCACUGUAAGAAGAGGACAAUAGCCUAUGAUCUACAGUGCCCAUUCCAACUCAGAGAAUCUUUACAUCUGGAGAUCUAUAGCAGGGCUAUCCCUAGUGACAUGCGUGAAGAAGCUUGGAAAUGGUGCUGGGUAGGAGCUGAGUGUGCAGAAUGUGGAAAGGCAUUCUAAACCAAAGGAAGAACACGAGUAAAGAUGAUGAAGCAGGGAUAAGGCUAAAAUGAAAUUUGUGAUCUGAUCCACAUACAAGCACAGUGUAGUACAGCUGGAAUAUAGAGAAGAGCUUGAAGACUUAUGAGCAACUAUCCCGGUACUCUUGGAGGCUCUGCAACCACAGUUUGAGAAACUCCGCGUUCAAAGUUAAAAACUGUCACCUGAAUAGUUAAUAACAUCAAAGAUUGUGAAAGCAAGUAUAAAUAACACAGAGAUUAAAAUAAUGAGGCAGGAUCAGAAACACUGACCUGCUGUGUAAGAAGUCCAACUGCCCUGAGGCCACCAGGCUGGAGAGACCAUGUAUGGAUAGGUUCUCUGAUCAACAGUUUCUAUCAAGCCCAGCCUUCUAGCCAUCAAGCCCAGCCUUCUAGCCAUGUCCACCAAUGUGCCUGACAUGUGAGUGAAGCCAUCACAGACCCUUCAGACCAGCCCACCUGCCAGCUGAAUACUUAAAACAAGAAGGAAGAUCUCCCAUAGAUUUUCAAGGUGCUGAGAAAACAGCUUCUAGACAUAUCUCGAAAGCCAAGUUUCUGAGAUGUAAUCAGAAAGCUGUAGUGGAAGGAAAUUUGAACCAGAAGACUGCAGUCCUGUCUAUGAACGUUAAACCUGUGUGGCUUAGGAAACGAGUCUAACCUCGUCUGAGCCUCAGUUUGUUCACCUAAAAGAUGGAGAUGAGAGCUCAUUUGUCUCAUUCUCAGGGGUUAUGGUGGCCAUCCAGACAUAAAGAAAUUAGAACGUUCAUUCAUCUGCAGAUGCUCACACAUUCCUACAGGAUGACUGAAACCCACAGCAAACAAUCCUCAUGAAAUACAGCUCAGCUCAUCCUGAAGAAUAAG
rnacentral:lncRNA from 1 species